ACUCAAAUGAAUUGACGGGGGCCCGCACAAGCAGCGGAGCGUGUGGUUUAAUUCGAGGGUACACGAAGAACCUUACCUGGAUUGGACAUGGACGUAGUACGAGCCGGAAACGGUGAGGACACUUCGGUGAGCGUCCACAGGUGCUGCAUGGUUGUCGUCAGCUCGUGCCGUGAGGUGUUCGGUUAAGUCCGCAAACGAGCGCAACCCUCGGGGUUAGUUACAAGUGUCUAACCCGACUGCCCGUGGCAAACGGGAGGAAGGUGGGGAUGAUGUCAAAUCAGCAUGGCCUUGAUAUUCAGGGCGACACACACGCUACAAUGGGACGGACAAUGGGUAGCCAAACCGCGAGGUGGAGCCAAUCCCGAAAGCGUCUCACAGUUCGGAUUGCAGGCUGCAACUCGCCUGCAUGAAGUCGGAGUUGCUAGUAACCGCGUAUCAGCAUGGCGCGGUGAAUACGUUCCCGGGCCUUGUACACACCGCCCGU
rnacentral:rRNA from 1 species